UGUGUUGCUUGGCUCAGAACACCCAGGAAGGAGAGGAACUAUUCAGAAUUGCCUGCAGGAGUUUACAACUGGGAGCAAUGGGGUAAAGUCAGCUGUGAUAGGUUCAUCAUGCAUACAUGCACUACUCUGAAAACUGAUCAAGUAUGGCCAGGAACUUGGACCAACGUUAUCUCCCACAGCUCAACAGCUAAAUAAUCAUUCCAGUCCAGUCAAGAUGCAGAAGUGUUUUGGACUGUUUCAAAGACUAGUUGGUACAUGAGAUAUAUCCUGAAAAUGUAAAGCAUUAUAUAAAUACCAUGGACAGAUGGAUUUUUCCUAGCUCCCAAACUUUGGAGUAUUACUUUAUUACCGUCCCUUGGCUGAGUGUAGCACCCAGCUGAAACAAUCGAAGGAACUUUAACCAAUAAAAGUAC
rnacentral:lncRNA from 1 species